rnacentral:sRNA from 1 species
GCCAGGUAUGGUGGCACCCACCUGUAAUCCCAGCAAUUUGGGAGGCUGAGGCAGGAGGAUCGCCGGUUCAAAGCCACCCCCAGAAACUUAGCAAGGCCCUAUGCAACUCAGCGAGACCCUGUCUCUA